CACCCCUCCUCUGCCUUUCUCUCCCCCGACGCCUCUCCUCAUCCUCCACUCCCCACGUUUCCCCCAACCAACCCCGUUGCUGCUGCCGACGCCGAUGACCUCCUCUCCCCCAACCCCACCGUCGGCGCCCCCCACCUCACCAGUAGCCACUGCCAUGGAUAGAGCCGCUGCCUCUCUCAGCACCCGAAGCCCUAGCUCAGGCCGCCGCGACCCACCCGCUGCAUCCCGCGUUCACGCGCGAGAUCCGUCCUGCAUUCUUGGCCAAGCGGGCGUCCACGCGCGGAUCCUCCUCCUCGCUAUGCCCUUGUGCUGGCCCUGAACCCUAGCUAGGGGCCCCCUUCUCCGGGUGCGGCGCGGCGCGGGGAGGGCUCCCUCUUGCCCGCCGCCGAUGCAGACGGCUCGCCGGAGGUCCUGCUACUUGCUGCUCCGACCCUCCUGCUACUGCUGCUAGUGCGGACCAACGCCAUGGAGGUCGUGUGCAGGCGGGGAAGGACAGGGUGGCACGCCUCGUGCGCGAGCUCGAGGGCGUCGGCCUGCUCGUCGAGCGUGUCCGCGACGUCCCCGCCGAGUUCAUCAAGGGAGAAUGCUUCAACUGCCAUUGCAAUAACCUUUUCUGGGCACCACUAGUGACCAAGUCGUCUCUCUCUACGAGUGGCUGCUCCGACCCUGCUACUGCCCACACGAUAGAAGGUCCUCUCUCUCUCAUUUUUUAUUCCUCACUCCGAUGAUAGUUUGGUGUAACCUACCUCAUAGUUGUACCCUUGGUAGAGUGAUUUGUUUGACAUGUUGUUGAUCUGAAUUAAACCACUUAAUCAUCCUCUUCCUUUUUUUAAACAAUUCGGUCUUAUCAUUGUUUCCCCGUGUAUGGUAAUUUGAAGAAAGAACAACCCUAUUCCUGUCUGGGAUUGUGGUCUGUUAGGGACUUGAACACUGCCAUGUUCUUCAAAAUUACAGCGUGUUUGCUCCUAGUGCUCAAUCAUAUUCUGUCCUAGAUCGUUAUACCACUUAGGCCGUUGAUCUGCAUAAUGUACACUUUCAUUGUAAUAUGUAAGAUGCGUAUGAUAUGUUUCGAAUAUGAUCGAUGGUAAACUUACUGACUUACUGAUUCCUCAGUUCUAUCUUGAUGCUUUUUGUUCCAAGUGUUAAGUAGGAAUUGAUAUGGUUGUCGUAUGAUUUUGUUUAAUCUUUGCUAAUGUGAAUUGUGAAAUGUUGGUUAAACUUAAUCUGAUCAUCGCCAAACUCUCUACCUCACUUCUGUUUUAGUAGUGACGCAAACUGCUUACAGCAUAUAGGCUGCAUUAUGUGGAGUCCUAAGUCCAAAAAAGAGGUCUGGACACGUUUAGUAUUAUAGUUAUUACUCCUCAAUACACUUUAGGACCCAUUUAACCUUUCUAACGGUUCAUACAACAACAUCAUAAAUCGUAUUUUAUCGUCAACCAAGCAUUUACAUCAAAAAGAGAAUUUCCCUUGAAAGCUUGCCAUUUUUUUCUUUGAUGUCAGAUGUUUUUGAUCUCUCUAGUAGAAUCAAUGACUUCUGUGCUUUUUAGCUUGACAGACAGUAUUAGUAGUUCAAUACCCAUAUAGAUUACUCCUUGCUCAUGCUAAUGUUAGUUAUUAUGUCCUUCUAGCCAAUUGCGUCUGCCAUCCCAUCACGAGACACAAACUUUGCCAUGCCAAAUAUUACUCUUAUGAUUGCAACUUUGCAAGUGUAUGGAUAUGUAUAGCAUAAAUCAUUUAUUUUCCUUAGUCCUCUGCAUUCAUGUUUCUGAGAGCUAUGAUAUUGGUUAAUUUUUCAGGUUAUCAGUCUUAGUCUGGACCUCUUUAAAAAAACUUAAAAAAACACUGUUCAGGAAUAUAAGUGUUUAUGAAACUACUGUUAUUGGUUUAGGCAAACACCUCACAGUAUUCAAAAGUACAGUUUUAUAGAAACCAUAGUAUUCUAAUUGAGCUAGUAAGAUUCAGUUUAUGUAAAUUUAGUAGUAUGAACUAGUAAGAUCCUUCUGCUAAACUGAAGAUGCUAUUUGCUUCUGUAUAUGCCUUGUACACUCUUAUAUUCUCCCAUGAUUGAAGUCUGCAAUGCUUAUGGGACAAUCUUUGUUUGUAUGUUAAGACCUCAGUGUCUGCUCAAUGAAGAGAUUUGAAGAGUUGCAGAAGGUAAUUUUGGGACAAAUUUCCAUUGCUGCAAUAUAAUGAGAUGUUGAAGCGGCAGACUGAAUCCAUGACACCGAAGUGCAAUUGCGGCAGAUUAUCUCUAUUUUUCCUUUUCAUUUUUCUUAUUAUUGGAGUGAGAACAGGUAGAAUGAGGAACUGUGUGACAGUAGAUACAACAACUGUAGUAAAAACACUUAUGUUUGCAAUUGUUAAUGACAUACAUACUUGCAUGUUCUUUGAAGUGGUCAAUCGUGAAUACCAAUGCAUAAUGAUGGGGUUUUGGCUCAUUUAUUGGCUUCGGUGUCCAUGUCAAUUAUGUAUGCUCUUACUGGAUGUGUUCUAAUGCUGGUUUACUAUAAAUCUUGUAUUUGUAAUGAUGUGUACUGAUUUAUUUAUUUUAAUUCCUAAUAAGUUAGUAGUAGCAUGGGGAGCAAAUUGAGCGCUACUAGUAUAUAGGAUACUAGGAGCGUUAGUUGUUUACCCACGCUGCUACUAUUUCAUUAGUAGUAGCGCGUGUAUGUGAUAGCAGUAGCGUGGGUGGCACACGCUACUACUAGCAAAGUUAGUAGUAGCGCGGGUUUAACCCACGCUACUACUAACUAUUAGUUGU